GUCCGUUCAAGUUGUUCUGUAGUGUUUUCGGUGUUCUAUAUUGUAUUGUGUAUUGCGUUGCUAAGUGAAAAAAUAUUAUGAGUGAAGCAGAAGUGGCUCCCGACAAAAAGACACCCACCUGCUCCAGCUUCUCCAGGAGUUUAACCAACCCAGUGCAUAUGGAUGUUUAAAAGCUUCUCAGGUAACAUACAACAGCUUGCAAUAUAUGAAAGGUGAAAACGUUAAGGAAGCAAUACCUCUCCUUGGUCUUCGAAUCGAAUUUAGUGAAAAAAAAUUCAGUUUGGCAUCAAUGACGACACAAUUUCUGUCCAAUCCAAAGUUGGCAACUAGUUAAUUGAAGAAGAUGACUUCCGUGGCAAACGAGUUUUAAGCAGGGUAAUACUAUAGUUAAAUUUUAUAUUUCUUUAUUUGUAUUUCUCAUAAACAAAAUAAAAUUUAUUAAAAAUAAAAAA